UACGUAGGUGGCAAGCGUUGUCCGGAAUUAUUGGGCGUAAAGCGCGCGCAGGCGGUCGUGACAAGUCACUUGUGAAAUCUCCGGGCUUAACUCGGAAAGGUCAAGUGAUACUGUCGGACUAGAGUACAGAAGGGGCAACUGGAAUUCUCGGUGUAGCGGUGAAAUGCGUAGAUAUCGAGAGGAACACCUGCGGCGAAGGCGGGUUGCUGGGCUGAUACUGACGCUGAGGCGCGAAAGCUAGGGGAGCGAACGGG
rnacentral:rRNA from 1 species